GUCCUUUCUGUUUGUUAGUUUUCCUUCUACCAGACAGGACCGUCAGCUGCAGGUCUGUUGGAGUUUACUAGAGGUCCACUCCAGACCCUGUUUGGCUGGGUGUCAGCAGCGGUGGCUGCAGAACAGCGGAUUUUCGUGAGACCACAAAUUCAGCUGUCUGAUAGUUCCUCUGGAAGUUUUGUCUCAGAGGAGUACCCAGCCGAGUGAGGUGUCAGUCUGUCCCUACUGGGGGGUGCCUCCCAGUUAGGCUGCUCAGGGGUGAGGGACCCACUUUAGGAGGCAGUCUGUCCGUUCUCAGAUCUCCAGCUGCGUGCUGGGAGAACCACUACUCUCUUCAAAGCUGUCAGUCAGACAGGGACGUUGAAGUCUGCAGAGGUUCCUGCUGAAUUUUUGUUUGUCUGUGCCCUGCCCCCAGAGGUGGAGCCUACAGAGGCAGGCAGGCCUCCUUGAGCUGUGGUGGGCUCCACCCAGUUCGAGCUUCCUGGCUGCUUUGUUUACCUAAGCAAGCCUGGGCAAUGGUGGGCUCCCCUCCCCCAGCCUCGCUGCCGCCUUGCAGUUUGAUCUCAGACUGCUGUGCUAGCAAUCAGCGAGACUCUGUGGGCAUAGGACCCUCUGAGCCAGGUGCGGGACACAAUCUCCUAGUGUGCCGUUUUCCAGGCCUGUUGGAGAAGCGCAGUAUUAGGGUGGGACUGACCCGAUUUUCCAGAUGCUGUCUGUUACCCCUUUCUUUGACUAGUAAAGGGAACUCCCUGACCCCUUGCGCUUCCCGAGUGAGGCAAUGCCUCGCCCUGCUUCGGCUCGUGCAUAGUGCACUUCACCGACUGUCCUGCACCCACUGUUUGGCACUCCCUAGUGAGAUGAAACCGGUACCUCAAACAGAAAUGCAGAAAUCACCCGUCUUCUGUGUCGCUCAGGCUGGGAGCUGUAGACCAGAGCUGUUCCUAUUUGGCCAUCUUCACAUUACUUCUUAAAUAAGAGAUCAGGUCAGUGCUAACUCCUACAGUAUAGAUGUCCCAGGUUGAAUAAAAUAGUUUCCUAAAAUCUCUACAUUUAUAACAAUGACAUACGACAGACAGAUGACUGCAAGAGGUAUGGUGAAGCUUAUGUAUACCUUAGCUAUUAGGGCAAGAAGUAUACAUUUUAGUACUUGUACUAGAACUAACAUAUAAAUUAAUGACUCGAUGUGGAAAAUAAAAGCAUUAUUGGUGAUUUAGGUGUUCCAAACAUUUGCUUUUCCUAGCAAAAUGCCAGAAUAUGUUGAUUCUUUGACUUGAUGUCAUUUAAUGGGAAUUCUGUUAGGUGAUUAGGGAAUUUGUGAUCCCUCUGAAAACAUUAACCAAAAAAUAGAAGGGAACUUUUCACAGUGUAAAAUAGUGUUUAAGAGUUUGGAGCCAGAAUCAUCCCUGGCUCUCUCUUCUACUAGCAUGGUGACCCCAGCAAAUUAAUCUUUCACCUCAGCAAAUUACUUACUCAGUUUCCUCAGAUGUAAAGUGGGGAUAAUAAUCAUACCUUUGGCAAAGCAGUGUUGUGAUGAUUGAGUGCGUAAAUGUAAAGCACUUAGAGACUGGCACAUCAAGUGCUAGGAAAGCGUUUGCCACCACGUUGUGGUCUUCCUUGUUGCAGUUAAAGGUGCUAAGAGUCUUUUAAAUUGCAAAUGCCCCUGAAUGUCAUAAAUCAUUGCACAAAACUUUUCAGAAGCCACCACUUAACUAAGAAUCCCAUUGAAAUAUCUAGCAGGCAGGCACUUGUGGGCAGACUUCUGGUCAGGGCACUGGAGGUGCAUCCCAAGAGAGAAGAGGGGAUUGACGGACUCACAUUUGCCAAAUGCCUGCUGUAUGCCAGGUGCUUUGCCCACCUUAAAGUCCUCCUGAGGGAAGGAAGCAGGAUGAAGCCCCGUGUCACACACCUGGGAGUGGUAGGCUGUGCUCGCCAGUACCUGCAGAGUCUCCCAGGCACUGGGGUGCUGGUGAGUGAGGGAGGUGCUUCUAGGAACCUUGCCCUAUCCAGCAUGGAACCAGCAUUUUGGUCCCAACGCACCGGACUUGGAACAUUCGAAUCUGAUCUAUAAUUUGCUCAUGGAUGGUGGCAGCCCUCGUGCCCACACUCUUAAGGGCCCUCGUGAGUGUGCACACGCGUUGAUGGGAAGGUGAGGGGUGUGGGGAGGCAGCCACAGCCUUCAGCUGCAGUAUCAUUGCAGAUGCUGGGGACUUGAGAGCUGAAAGGUGCUCUUAAAUUGCACAAAUGCAACAUGACUUUUAAAAGAAUCUGAGGCAAAAGGCACGCUCCAAAAAAACCCAUGUGAGCCAGGAGGAGACUGCCACUAUAGCUAACAAAGUGGGGAAGCAAUUUUGCAAAAUAAGAAAACUAGUCUCAGGCUAACCAGAGAUGCUGACAAACCUGAGAUUCCAGGUGGAUCUAAAUUAGAAAUCGGUCAAGGGAAAACACAGUGAUAGUCCCCCUUGUGGAUUCCAGUAAGAACUCUUUAAAUUCAUUGACCCUGAUGGAGUAGCAGUAGGAGAGAGAGGCCCUGGGCAUGCAAAUGCCCUCAGUAGCUCAGCUCUGCUCACUAGACACUCGGGUGGGUGAGGUUGGGCGCUGGGAAUCUCGUGGGGACAGGAUGCCUGCCUACUUGGCCCUCAACUCCAGGUGAAUCCUAUCCUUCUCUUCACCGUCUUCCUCCCCUUCCCUCUCUGGACCCUCUGCUUGCUCUGUGAACCUGGAUUGAUCUCCACUCACCCCUCACUCCUGAAUGGGGCCCUCGAAGGGAGACAUCCCUGGCUGUGCUGAUGUCAUGAAUGCUGCUAGGCCAGACUGGUGUCUGCAGGAGGACAAAGCAAGGGCUGGUUCUGACUUUGGUUUGAAGGUGAUUUUCCCACAGAUCCCCCUUGGCAUGAUGCUUUUACCUCAUUUGUCUCUGUGCCUUUGGCUCUAAAUCUUAACAUCUUAAUUAGAUUGUGUUUACAUUUGCACCAUACAUGUGGUCUGGCACUUGAAGAUUGGAUAGAGUGACACAAAUAUUUCGACUCAGGGAGUGCCAGUGGAGGGAGAGAGCCUGGAGACCAGCUACUCCAAUGCCCUCAUUUGCCUUUGCUCAUGUCCGUCUCAUCAAGCAGGGACCCUGCAGGUGGGAAAGAAAGAUGGCAAGAGGACAGCCAAUAUCACAUUUUCCUUCCCAAGACAGGGAUGAAAAGCCACCAAGACGGCUUUUGUGAAAAUCUCGAAGGACAAGAAAAGCCCACUUUAGUCAUCAGAUCUCAUUUCAUCUAUUGUUAACCUUGAGGAGUGGCGAGCCGGCUGUUCCUGCCAAGCUCUUCAGUACCCAGCUAGAUGGGCACCCUGAACAGAAGUGCUUCUGGACUAGUGCCAUAGGGACUGCUCUGAGUACCAGGGUGGCCUCGGGCAAGGCUCCAGCCCUUUCUUGAAUGACUUCCCAGGCCUGAGGAGGCACAGGUGAGAAAAUGUAUGUGGAAGCUCUCUACACACCGUGAAGUUCAUCCAAACGGAGCAGGAUGGUCUCUCUGGUCUGCUGUGCCCUCCCUCUCCCCACACCCAUAAAUAACAGCAGCCCUUCCAACCCUCCUCCUGAUCCUGUGCUCAGUGAUGGGGGCCUUGCAGUGGGCAGCCAGGGCCAGCAUGGCCAAGCCCUGUCAGUCCCUUCCCUCUGAAGGUGAACUGGACAGCAUUUGCUCUCUUUAGUGUGUGAUUUGGAUUUACACAAAUUCAAAAGCUGCCGGAUUUCAGAGCGUGUUUGUCACUGCCAUCGUCAUUCUUUUGUUCAGGCAGCAGUGAGAAUCUGCUCAGCACUUGUGAGCACUAUAUGCUGAAAUGCCUGAGAAGGCUUUCCUGCCCUGCAGGGACCAGGGCUCAGCACCUUUUUCAGGCUCCAGGAAGCUCAUAUCCCGCUGAUGAACAGCUCGUGGCCAUUGCAGCAGCAUGGAAAACCCGCAGCUCCUGGCAUUUAACUACAUGCCACUCAGGCACACUGAAGUCCUAAUGAUGUCUACCUUCUUUGGAGCAGGAGGCCACAUGCCCAGGACUGUCACAUCUAUGUCUCCACAUGGCUAUUGGGCACCGUCUGUGUGCGUGGAGGUGUGGGCAGAGGACCACGAUGAAGGCCACAGUCCCUCCAAAGCCAGCACUCCUGCCCCAAAGCCCCUGCAGGUGCAGGGUGGUGGCCUGUCUGAAGUUUAAAGGCUCACAUAGA